GACGAACGCUGGCGGCGUGCUUAACACAUGCAAGUCGAACGGAAAGGCCCUGCUUUUGUGGGUUGCUCGAGUGGCGAACGGGUGAGUAACACGUGAGUAACCUGCCCUUGACUUUGGGAUAACUUCAGGAAACUGGGGCUAAUACCGGAUAGGAGCUCCUGCUGCAUGGUGGGGGUUGGAAAGUUUCGGCGGUUGGGGAUGGACUCGCGGCUUAUCAGCUUGUUGGUGGGGUAGUGGCUUACCAAGGCUUUGACGGGUAGCCGGCCUGAGAGGGUGACCGGCCACAUUGGGACUGAGAUACGGCCCAGAAUCCUACGGGAGGCAGCAGUGGGGAAUAUUGCACAAUGGGCGGAAGCAGGAUGCAGCAACGCCGCGUGCGGGAUGAAGGACUUCGGGUUGUAAACAGCUUUCGCCUGUGACGAAGAGUGAGUGACGGUAAUGGGUAAAGAAGCACCGGCUAACUACGUG
rnacentral:rRNA from 1 species